GAUGAACGCUGGCGGCGUGCUUAACACAUGCAAGUCGAACGAUGAACCGGGUGCUUGCACUCGGGGAUUAGUGGCGAACGGGUGAGUAACACGUGAGCAACCUGCCCCUGACUCUGGAAUAAGCGCUGGAAACGGCGUCUAAUACUGGAUAUGUCCCGUCACCGCAUGGUGUGCGGGUGGAAAGAUUUUUCGGUUGGGGAUGGGCUCGCGGCCUAUCAGCUUGUUGGUGAGGUAAUGGCUCACCAAGGCGUCGACGGGUAGCCGGCCCGAGAGGGUGACCGGCCACACUGGGACUGAGACACGGCCCAGACUCCUACGGGAGGCAGCAGUGGGGAAUAUUGCACAAUGGGCGGAAGCCUGAUGCAGCAACGCCGCGUGAGGGAUGACGGCCUUCGGGUUGUAAACCUCUUUUAGCAGGGAAGAAGCGAGAGUGACGGUACCUGCAGAAAAAGCACCGGCUAACUACGUGCCAGCCGCCGCCGUAA
rnacentral:rRNA from 1 species